rnacentral:rRNA from 1 species
UACGAAGGGGGCUAGCGUUGUUCGGAUUUACUGGGCGUAAAGCGCACGUAGACGGAUCGUUAAGUCGGGGGUGAAAUCCUGGAGCUCAACUCCAGAACUGCCUUCGAUACUGGCGAUCUUGAGUCCGGAAGAGGUGAGUGGAACUCCUAGUGUAGAGGUGGAAUUCGUAGAUAUUAGGAAGAACACCAGUGGCGAAGGCGGCUCACUGGUCCGGUACUGACGCUGAGGUGCGAAAGCGUGGGGAGCAAACAGG